rnacentral:rRNA from 1 species
UGGGGUUGCGGACAUAUCAUAACGAAGAGGUAUCGUAAUUGAAGAGGUUUGGAAAGACCCACCACAGAAGGUAAUAGUCCUGUAUGUUAAACGAGAAGACUUCAGAUAUGAUCCAGAGUACCACGGGACACGUGAAACCCUGUGGGAAGCAGGAGGGACCACCCUCCAAGGCUAAAUACUACCUAGUGACCGAUAGCGUAUAGUACCGUGAGGGAAAGGUGAAAAGAACCCCGGGAGGGGAGUGAAAUAGAACCUGAAACCCUGCACUUACAAGCUGUGGAAGCACAUUUCUUGUGUGACCGCGUACUUUUUGUAGAACGGGCCAACGAGUUACGUUAAGUAGCAAGGUUAAGCACUUAAGGUGCGGAGCCGUAGCGAAAGCGAGUUUUAACUGAGCGUUCAGUUACUUGACGUAGACCCGAAACCGGGCGACCUACCCAUGAGCAGGAUGAAGCGAAAGUAAAAUUUCGUGGAGGUCCGAACCCACGAGCGUUGAAAAGCUCGGGGAUGACUUGUGGGUAGCGGUGAAAUUCCAAUCGAGCCCGGAGAUAGCUGGUUCUCCCCGAAAUAGCUUUAGGGCUAGCCUCAAGGUGAGAGAUACGGAGGUAGAGCACUGAAUGUCCUAGGGGGUAUUGCACCUACCGAAGACUAUCAAACUCCGAAUGCCGUCAUCUUAUACUUGGGAGUCAGACUGUGGGUGAUAAGAUUCAUAGUC